ACAAAUUUAGGUUCAUUUGCAGCAAAGUCUUUAAACACAAUAGAUUUCUUUUCAAUAAAUGGAGUAAAAUGAUUGGCAAUCGAAGCACAAGUUAAAAUCAUAAACAAGUAACACACAAUUUAUUCUUGAAAUACUUUUCCCCAAUAGGGCAAUACACAAUUUCAACUCAUGAAUAUGUGAGAGCUCAAAACAUGUUGGGAAUACUUACAAGACGUAUAAUUAGUUAGAACAACCACAUAUGGGCACUACUUGAGUUCAUAAGCUUUUAGGCAAUUUUAUUUUUGAAGUCGAUUUUGGAACAGUUGAAUCAAAGCUCAUUUCAUAAUCUUUCUCACAUCAUCUUAUUUCAUUGACACCAUUGGCCACAAGUAUAAUUUUCACUAUUGGCACGUUGGCCACACUUUAUACUCCCAAUUCACUUAUUUCACUUCCAACCAUAUUUAUAGAAUAUCAACAAUAAGACAUUUCCAAUCAAGACUUUAGGUACACAUAUGAGCAAUUGAGAGUCUUAAGCAUAUUGAGAUUUUCACACAAUUUGGCAUCAUAACCUUCAUUUGAAACCUGACUCAAAGACAUAGCAUUUUACUACACAUAUCAUUUUUUGAAUAUAUUCCCAAAGGAUAACAUAAUGUGAUAGGAACAUUCGUAACACGUUAUGAAUAUAUAAUUCUUGACUCUUUGCUUAUUCGGGACAAUCGAAUUUAUUGGGAACAUCUCGGAACAUAGAAUAAUGAACUUGAGACAACUAUACUUGAAACUUAUGGGAACAUCAUUGAAUUCAAUUCUAAGAGAGUAGUUUAGCCAACAUACCUCGCUUUGAGCUUUCCUUAAAUUACUAGACAUUCCGAAAAUCCUAGCAAUCCCAAUCUAGUUUGAGACAUAACAAAAUUGAACCAUAAUUAGGAAGAUAUUCGUGGUUUCAACUUAUUUGAGCAUUUUAUCAAACACUAGAUGUUCAAAUUGGUUACAGGUUUCUUCCACAAGAUUUCUUUCACUUCACAACCUAAUCUUUACCCAUUUAGGCUCAAAAAUGUUCCCACAAACCUUAUUGGUACAUGCAUGUAUACAGAAUACUCUCACACCCAAGAAUCAUACUCCCAAUCACCCAUCCUUUACCCCAAACUCGAAAUUGAAGACUAGGGUUAGAACCUUGCCUCUUGAGUGAAGAUCUUGUGAGAUUUUCUUGUUGUAUUUCAAAGCUUGGAAAGAUCUUGAUGAAUAAAGGACUUGAGUUUCUUCCUCUCUCUAGAACACUCUUACUUCUCUAUAAAAAUAUCAAGUAAUCCCCCAAAAAUAAACCCUUAGGCUAUAUAAAUGAAAUGGGAGUCGGGUUAUGAAAUUAGAAAAUCAAACCCUCAAAAAUUCGGACCGGGCUACAGACUAGGCUAGGCACGGUCUAUAGCGAGCUACGGACCAGGCUUCAUGAGCUCUGUAGCGAGCUAUAGACAAGGCUUCGCGGGCUCUGUAUCGAGCUAUAGACCAGGCUUCGCAAUGGAUAUAGCAUGGUCUAGCGCGCUAUAGACCUGACUUCACGAGGGUUAUAGCACGAUCACAUUCUUCUAACGUUUGGUAAUUUGAACAUAACUUCUUGUAGGAGUGUCCAAAUAACAAACGGUUUGAAGAGUUAGAAACUAGACUCAAAGGGAUUUAAUUUUAUACAUAGAUCACCUCCUAAGUCCUUAUAGUUUGGUAGCAACAUGCUUUUGAAGUAGGAUCUUGUGCGAAUUGAGACAUCUUUUCCACUUAAUGUAUCCAACUUGUUCCACACGAAUUCUUACCAUUCACAAAACUCCUUAUUAUGUUUCAACACACCUUAAACAUAUAUUUUUCAUUUCAAAAUUAUGUGGUUCUAUCCCAUGGGUCUCCUUUAAUACUCGAACACGUUAUUCCCAAAUACCGUUGGCGCACUUUAAAAUCUUCAAUCAUUAGAAAAAUUUUAAUGGGGCCUUAUAUUCUCCCCCGCUUAGGAUCAUUCGUCCUCGAAUGAGACGUAGAGUUCGUCCUCAAACACUUAAUAUAACACAUCUUUUCUCUUUCGCACAUCUCAAACUCCCAAAUUUGACAAACUUCCAAAUUUUUCAGAAAUUUUGACAGAGUUUCCUCUGUAUUCAGGCCUAUCCACGUGUCAGAGAAUCACCAAAAUCAGUCCUAACAACGUAUCGACAACUCCACAAAGCAUCACAACAUUAUAGGCAUCAUAUUAACUAGAGUGAUAUCUGGACAUGAUCUACACAUAUUUAAAUCAUAACACAUAAAAAGUACAUUUCGAUCCACAAUCAUUUGACUAUACACUCAAGUGAGAACAUUUUAUUUCCUUAACACUUUUGGCCCUCAAGGUGGCCUCCUCGACUUAUAGACUUCACCAUAACACAUUAACGGAGGCAAUCUCAACUCCCGGACUUUUCUAACAAGGAUAGCAAAUAGUUUCUCCUCAUAAUGCAAUUGUCCAUUAACUUCACCUUCUUAGAUAUAGACACAUGAAACACUGGGUAAACGGAGAACAAAAAUAGGGAAAUAUCAUACUCAUAGUUUGGCCUAUUUCCUUAGAGAUUUCAUAAGGCCUAAUGUGACUACACAUACUUUACAUUUAUUAACAAUUCACAUAGCAUCCUCAUGGAGAAAAUAUUGAGAAUAACCUAUUCACUUUCUUCAACUCUAAAUCUCUACGCCGAACACCCAAACUAAACCUUUGGCGACCUCCAACAAUUAGUCUAAGAUGUGCUAGCUUGAAUAUCACCAUGAAAUUUCCUAUCCUAUAUAUUUUAUCAUGGGAUGACGCUUCUUCUUUGACAUGUGACAUAUGGGAGGCAUAAUCGGAAGGAUAAAUACAUUAGCCUCAGUUAUUCUUGGAAGUCUAUGAGUCAUGAAAAGGACAACAACAACUGUUUCAUUCCAUAUGUGUCUUGCUCGGUAGUAGAAAGCCUCAAAGAGAAAUGUCCAAGUACAUGACACAAGUCGUCUCCUGGAGUGUAGGGAAAAUCAGUUCAACUUGAAAUGAGAAUAUUUUGGCACCCCGAAUGUGAUAUGGGUUUCAAAAUGCAUGAAAUUGCAUUACGGUCUUAACAUUAACUGACACAAGCCCAUGGGGAUAAAAAAGAAGUUGAACACUUGUGAGAUUAUUGUCAUUCUCACAACUUAACCUUUGCCAAUAGUUGAUCCUAUAUGAGAGGACUAGAUAUAUGGCGAAUUUGUGAAAAUCUCAAAUGUCCCAGAAACGUUUAUGCGGACAAAUGACCCCUUUCAAUUGACAACUACACAUAUGAUAGGUGUUGAGAUAUGAUCUUAUGUUACUAUACGGUGAAAAGGAUUCAUGAUAAUAUACACAAAGGAAAAAAGUUAUUGCUCAAACCAUAGGAGCCACAUACACCGGAGAGAAAAACAUUGGCUCAAAAAGGAUCUCAACACUAGGUUGCUUUACAUUGGAUUUGAUACCACAUAGGUAAACUUUAUGGUUGUGCAUGCAUAAGCACAAGUGAGCAGAUGUUAUCUAUUUUAAUCAAAACGUUCUGUAAGAAAUUCAUCAGGUAUAGUCCUUUGUUGAGAAUUUAGGGAAGCAAGUGGGAAGUAUUAGGCCUAGAGUUAUAACUCAAUUUAAAAGACAUAAUUAAAGAGCUCAAUUCCAUAAAAGGUUGUAAAUAAGAGUAUUUGUGAUAGAGUGGCUUCACGAAUAAUGCGUCUCGUUCAGAAAAUAAGUGUCACAGCCCAAACCGAUGGGCCGCGAUGGGCACCCGAUGCCUUACCUAACCGAGCACCAAUGUAACAUAUCUUUCUUAUCAUGCCACCAUGGGUAAAUGGUUUAGAUGGGCCCUCAUGAGAUAACCAGAAUAAAACAUAAGGGAAUACUAAAUGUAGGAUGACUCACCAUGAUAUAGAAACUUGUACAUGUGACAUACAGGCCUAUAAGGCCGACAUGAUCAUUUGUCUACUCAAAACAUAGGCCGACAAGGCCAUACAAGUAUCAAUAUACAUGACAUAUUUCUACAAGCCUCUACGAGUACAUAAAUGCCAUAAAGUUCGAGAUAUGGCCCUGCCAUACCAAUCAAUACAUGUACAAAUCAUACUGACCAGAUAGGCAACUCCGGAGCAAGUGGAGUGCACCAACACCUUUUGCUGAGCUGAUAGCCUACUAGGAGGGCUCUCAACCUAUCUAUCGGGACCUGCGGGCAUGAAACGCAGCGUCCCCGGGAAAAAGGGACAUUAGUACAAAUAAAGUACCUAGUAUGUAAGGCAUGAAAGUAGUAUAUAAAAGAAAUGAAAGAAACAUGGAUUAAAGAAUUAAACCUGUAAUUCUGAAUCGCUCUGUGAAUCAUGAAAAACUUAUAAUGUCAUGCAUGUGCGUAUAAAUAUCAUACCAUGCAUAGGUAUAUGCAUAAAUAAAAUCAUCAAGCCUCUGAGGGCAUUCCAUCAUAUCAUCUCAGCCACUAUGGGCGAAAUCAUCAACAUUUACCGGUUGAACAGGUGGUGGUGCGUAUAUAACUCCAUAACCUUUUCCCAUAUCCCAUAUACAUAUAAUAUACGGGUAUAUAAUGCCAUCUGGUCAUGGGUCAAUGUACAUGUAUAAAUGAAUACAAUGCAUAAUGAAGUACAUUAGUAAGAUUUCUCAGAAUGACAUAAGAUCAAUAAGAUCUCUCAAAUAAACUUUAUCAACUUAAAUUUUUUUUUUGAGACCCAUGAACAGAAUAUAUAAUAAUAAGAUGCAAGGGGAAUCAACAACAUAGACACUCAUAGUGCUUCUAUGAAUAGAGGUAUUUGUGAAAGUUGUGUGUUUGCUCGUUUUGUUUGUAUCGUAUGGAUCAUGCCAAAAGGAAAGAAGGGAUAGCCUUAAUAUACCUCAAGUCGUCAAUGCAACUCAACAAAAAGCUUAUGACAACUAGUGCGCCAACCCUAUAAUAAAUAAAUAUGUGUACAACUUAGAUGGCAGUGGUAUAUUACGUAUCUCAAAUGAUAUCUCGAUUCUAAAAUAAAACGGGCAGCAUUUCCCUUGAUUUCACUGCUCCCUCAAGCCUACUAUUGGCGAGAUACAAAUACAAUACAAUCAGCAACUCAAAAAUAACCCAACUACAAUUAGGGGCCUUCAACACAACAAAACCCCCAAAUAUAUCAUGACACACCCAAUCAAUAAGUUAUCAAUUAACCUGAAAUUGCAACGACGAGCGACCAUCCUACUACCCUACCACAUGUGGAGUUUCUCCAUGCCCUUCAUCCUUCCCAACUCCAUAAAUCUGCAGCACAAUAGUCCAACACGAGUGGACUACAAAACAGUCCACUAAAAGUGAAAUAAAUCGAACUCACGGCUUCCGAUCACCAUCCCGUGAAUUCUAACUUUUAGGAAAUGAAUUUAUCAACCUUCCUUGAUAUAUAAAAGCUUAAAUACAGAAAUCAUACGUUUUCCUAACUAUGAAGUACCUUUCGAAACUAAAACUACAAAGAAAAAGAGAGGCGAUAUAGCGAUACUUACGUCGUAGGGAUCGUUCUAAUGUUAUCACUUCUUGAUUUCGUACCCAGGCUGUUAAUCUUCUUUGAAACCCUAGAAGAGAGAUUAAGGAUAUGUUUAUGGGUGUUCUCUGGUCGUGUUCUAUGGAAAAAUGAAGAUAACAACGACCUAAGACCUUAAUAUAUCAAGUUUGGAAAAGUCAAAGAGGUGCUAGCUUGGCACCCUCUCAUUGGCCUAUCUUCUGACGCUUAUAUCGUUUUAUCCGGAUAUCAUAUGAACGAACGGUUAAGAGCAUUGGAAACUACAUUCCAAUACCUUCAAUUUUAUAUAUAAUAUGUCCCAAAAUAUAGCCCAUAUAGCACACUAAAUAUAUUUCUCAAAAAUCUCUGUUACAAGACAAAUCCUUAGUCGAUUUUUCCACAAGUUAAAUCCGACUUUUCCCAAACUUUAUAUUUUCUAUACAAACAUCAUAUAUAGUCAUAUUAUGACUUUAAACUUAUUUAAAUCACGAUUAACAAGUCUUAUAUUCAUUACGUCACUUUGGGACGCACAUGGUGUAGCAAUCCCCCCCCCCCCAGAAACAUUCGUCCUCGAAUGUUAAACUCCCAGAAAUCUAUAAACAUUCUGGUAGAGUCUCCUCUGUAACAAUACUACUAACAACAUGUCACACAUCAAACCCAACCAUAUAAAUCCACACAGGUCCACAAUCAUCAAUAACACCAAUGGCCUCACACGACCAAUAACAAUAACUAACACAAGAAUCAAGUAUCAUAUACGUACCUAAAGGCUGUGAUGUCUCUAUCCAAUCCUCCUCCGGAAGUGGAAACAAGUGAGGAUACAUAGUAUUAAUAAAGCCUUACAAUGUAUCGAGGGCUAAGCAUUCCUUUCUUAUCGAAUCUCGUAACGCCUUCCAUCGCUGAAACUUUUAGGAAUACAUAGUCGUCUACCAGAAACUCCAAGUCUCGUCGUUGAUUAUCUGCAUAAGACUUCUGAUGACUCUGAGCUCCUAAUAGUCUUUCCCUUAUAAUCUCAAUCUUCUCAACUGCCUGUUGUAUCAACUCUAGUCCUACUAACUUAGUUUCCCCAAUCUCGAACCAUCCGAUAAGAGACCUACACUUCCAUCUGUAUAGAUCUUCGAAUGGAGCCAUCUGAAUGUUGGAAUGAUAACUAUUAUUAUAUACGAACUCAAUAAGUGGAAGAUGAUCAUCCCAGCUACCCCUGAAGUCCAUCACACAAGCCCGUAGCAUAUUCUCCAGCGUCUGAAUAGUACGCUCAGCAUGACCAUCUAUCUGGGAUGAAAUGAUGUAUUAAGACUUACUUGAGUCCCCAAUCGUUCCGAAAAUUAGCUGUAAACUGAGCNNNNNNNNNNNNNNNNNNNNNNNNNNNNNNNNNNNNNNNNNNNNNNNNNNNNNNNNNNNNNNNNNNNNNNNNNNNNNNNNNNNNNNNNNNNNNNNNNNNNNNNNNNNNNNNNNNNNNNNNNNNNNNNNNNNNNNNNNNNNNNNNNNNNNNNNNNNNNNNNNNNNNNNNNNNNNNNNNNNNNNNNNNNNNNNNNNNNNNNNNNNNNNNNNNNNNNNNNNNNNNNNNNNNNNNNNNNNNNNNNNNNNNNNNNNNNNNNNNNNNNNNNNNNNNNNNNNNNNNNNNNNNNNNNNNNNNNNNNNNNNNNNNNNNNNNNNNNNNNNNNNNNNNNNNNNNNNNNNNNNNNNNNNNNNNNNNNNNNNNNNNNNNNNNNNNNNNNNNNNNNNNNNNNNNNNNNNNNNNNNNNNNNNNNNNNNNNNNNNNNNNNNNNNNNNNNNNNNNNNNNNNNNNNNNNNNNNNNNNNNNNNNNNNNNNNNNNNNNNNNNNNNNNNNNNNNNNNNNNNNNNNNNNNNNNNNNNNNNNNNNNNNNNNNNNNNNNNNNNNNNNNNNNNNNNNNNNNNNNNNNNNNAAGCCCGUAGCAUAUUCUCCAGCGUCUGAAUAGUACGCUCAGCAUGACCAUCUAUCUGGGAUGAAAUGAUGUAUUAAGACUUACUUGAGUCCCCAAUCGUUCCGAAAAUUAGCUGUAAACUGAGCACCUCUAUCUAAGAUAAUAGAUAUAGGGACACCAUGAAGUCGUAUUAUCUCCUUAAUGUAAAGCCUUGCAUAAUCCUCUGCUGAAUAAGUAGUCCUGACAGGCAGAAAAUGGGGUGAUUUUGUAAUUCUAUCAAUAAUAACCCAUAUAGAAUCGAACUAACGCUGGGUACGAGGUAAGCCUAUGAUUAAAUCCAUAUUAAUCACUUCCCAUUUCCAAGUCAGAAUCUCUAUAGCCUACCAUAAUCCACCGGGUUUCUGAUGCUCAAUCUUAACCUGCUGAUAAUUAGGCACUGAGAAACAAACUCUGCUAUAUCCUUCUUCAUUUUGUCCCACCAGUAUAUUUCCUCGAUAUCAUGAUACAUCUUUGUCGCUCCUGGAUGAAUAGAAUAACGAGAAUAGUGAGAUUCUCCCAAAACCUGUUGACGCAACCCUGCCACAUUAGGAACACAUAAUAAACCUCGAUAUCUGAGUAUUCCAUCUCAUGUAAUCUCAAAUGAUGUAUUCUUCUUUUGAGGUGAUGUAUCUCUGUAAUGAGCUAGCACAGGAUCCGCAUACUGGCGUUCCUUCUCUUCAGUUACUAAAGAGGAUAUUGUCGUGUCCUGAAUAGUAACUUCGGUAUCACCUGAGUCCAGUAAUCGAACUCCAAACUAGCUAGUUGAUGAAUCUCACGGGCUUUCCCACUCUUAUCUAACUGUAAAUAUUAUAGGCUACCCAUAGAUCUACGGCUGAGGGCAUCGGCUACUACAUUCGCCUUCCCCGGAUGGUAUAAAAUAUCAACAUCAUAGUCUUUUAGUAGCUCCAACCAUCUUCUUUGGUGUAAAUUCAAUUUCUUUUGCUUGAAGAAAUAUUGAAGGCUCUUAUGAUCCAUAUAGAUAUCAACAUGAAUGACAUACAAAUAGUGCCCAGACUCCGGAGGGGCUCCUACAAUCCAAGCGUUAUAAUCUGCACGGACAACUCACGUAUUGCACGGACAACUCACGUGCUAUAAUAUCAUAUCAUAAUUCGCACGGACAACUCACGUGCUGAGGUACAAUACCUCACCAACAGGCCCUCGGCCUCACUCAGUCAUAAACCUCUCUAGUCUCUCGGGCUCUCAGAAAUCAAAGAAAUCAACCCAAACAACAUUAACAUGAUGCAACAAAUAGAAUAAUAGAGACUGAGCUAUGAUGUAAGAAUGCAUGAACAUGACUGAGUACGGGAUAUCAACUAAAGCAGUGAGCGGACAACAAGAAAUGACCUCUAAGGGUCCAAACAAUACUGGCAUAAAGCCUAGACAUGGUAUCUAGCAUGAUUUACAGUAAAUCUUUCUAAAACACAUAAGGUGCAUAUAGCUACAACAGGUUGUUCAACUUUACAGUUGCUACGGGACGGACCAAGUCAUAAAUCCUCAAUGGUGCACGCCCACACGCCCGUCACCUAGCAUGUGCGUCACCUCCAAAUAGUCACAUGACACAAAUAUCCGAGGUUUCAUACCCUCAGGACUAGAUUUACAACCGUUACUUACCACAAUCCGAGCAAAUCUCUACUCUGCAAUGCCUUUUCCUCUCGAAUCAGCCUCCGAGCGUCCCGAAUCUAGCCACAAGCAUUACAAUACCAUUAAUAUAUUCUAAAUCAAUCAAUUCCACAAGAAAACUCCUAAAUUAGACACAAAACUCGAAAUCGACUCAAACCCGACACCCGGGCCCAAGUCUCGAAAUCCAACAAAAGUCAUAAAACCCGAAAGCCCAUCUACUCACGAGUCUAACCAUACAAAAUUCAUCAAAAUCCAACAUCAUUUGGUCCCUCAAAUCCUCAAAUUACACUCUCCAAAAUUCCAAUCCCUAAGCCCCGAAUUUCGCCCCUAAAUUCCACUAAUUAGAUGAUAAUACAAUGGGAAAACACCAUAGAUACGAGUAUUAGAGCCCAAGCAACUUACCUCUUUGAAAACCCUUGAAUCUCCCUUCAAAGAUCACUCCAAAAGCUCCAAACACCGACUUGAAAAUGGUGGAAAUGAACCAAAAUUCACGAAGUGUUACAUUUAUAUUUUCUGCCCAGGUCUUUCGCACCUGCGGCUAAAUAUGCGCACUUGUGGUACCGCAUCUGUGCAAGAACCGCCACACCUGCGGAAAAUCAUUAAAACCCCCAACUUCGCACCUGCGCUCCAUAUCUGCAUCUGCGACCACACAGGUGCGGAAAAGACCUCGCACCUACGGCCACUGCCUGUCCUCCUCACUUUCGCUUCCGCAUGCACCAAUCCGCAUUUACGACCUCUCCUAUGCACCUACGGACCCAGUCUACCUCAACACUGUUCGCUGCGAACUCCCACGCGUGCCUGCGACCUCGCAGGUGCGGGAACUUCAUCGCACCUGCGCCUUCUGCCCAGCUCCUCCAAUCUCACAUCUGUGAUCUCCUGCUCUCUUCUGCAGGCUCGCACCUGCGAUGAGACAUCAGCAAGUGCGAUUAUGACAGCUAAGCUCGACUUUAACAAUUCCUCCAAUUUCCAAACUUGUUCCGUUAAUCACCCGAAAUCUCUCCGAGGCCCACGAGAUCUCAACCAAACAUACUAACAUAACCCACAACAUCAUACGAACUUAGAAAAAUCAUCAAAUCACUCAAAACAAUAUCAAAAUAUCAAAUUACACUCGGAUUCGAGCCUAAGGACUUCUAAACUUACGAAUUCCACCAACGAUGCCGAAACCUGCUAAACCACGUCCGAAUGAUCUCAAAUUAUACACACAAGUCAAAUAUAACACCACGAACCUAUUCCAACUUCCGGAAUUCCAUUCCGACCCCGAUAUCAAAAUUUCCACUACCGACCAAAAUCUCUAAAAUUUUAACUUUCGUCAAUUCAAGCCUAAUUAUACCACGGGCCUCCAAAUCUCAUUUCGAGUGUGCUCCCAAGUCCAAAAUCACCUAACGAAACCAUCAAAAUUCAAAUCCGAGGUUGUUUACACAUAAGUCAACAUCCGGUUGACUGUUCCAACUUAAGCUUCUACUUUAGAGACUAAGUGUCUCAAUUCACUCUGAAACUACUCUGGACCCGAACCAACUAACCCGAUAUAUCAUAAUAUAGCUGAAAAGCACAAAAGAAAGCAAAAAUAGGGAAAACGGGGCUAUAACUCACGAAACGACCGGCUGGGUCGUUACUCGAUAUGUCCGCAUCUACGGUGUUCAUCAGGGGUUUCAAAUCUGCAUGGACAGCUCACGGACCCAAGCGCUAUAAUCUACACGGACAGCUCACAUGUUGCACAGACAACUCACGUGCUAUAAUAUCAUAUCAGAAUCAAAGAAAUCAACCCAAACAAUAUUAACAUGAUGCAACAAAUAGAAUUACAGAGACUGAGCUAUGAUAUAAGAAUGCAUGAACAUGAUUGAGUACGGGAUAUCAACUAAAGAAGUGAGCGGACAACAAGAAACGACCUCUAAGGGUCCAAACAAUACUGGCAUAAAGCCUAGAUAUGGUAUCUAGCUUGAUUUACAGUAAAUCUUUCUAAAACACAUACCCUCAGGACUAGAUUUACAACCGUUACCUACCUCAAUCCGAGCAGAUCUCUACUCUACAAUGCCUUUUCCUCUCGAAUCGACCUCCGAACAACCCGAAUCUAGCCACAAGCAGUACAAUACCAUUAAUAUAUUCUAAAGGAAUCAAUUCCACAAGAAAACUACUAAAUUAGACUCAAAACUCGAAAUUGACUCAAACCCGACUCCCGGGCCCACGUCUUGAAAUCCAACAAAUGUCAUAAAACCCGAAAGCCCAUCCACUCACGAGUCUAACCAUACAAAAUUCAUCAAAAUCCGACAUCAUUUGGUCCCUCAAAUCCUCAAAUUACACUAUAAUCCCAAGCCCUAACCCCCAAUUUUCACCCCUAAAUUCCACUAAUUAGAUGAUAAUACAAUGGGAAAACACCAUAGAUAUGAGUAUUAGAGCCCAAGCAACUUACCUCAUUGAAAACCCUUGAAUAUCCCUUCAAAGAUCACUCCAAAAGCUCCAAACACCGACUUGAAAAUGGUGGAAAUUAACCAAAAUUUGCGAAGUGUUACAUUUAUAGUUUCUGCCCAGGUCUUUCGUACCUGCGGCUAAAUAUGCGCACUUGCGGUGCCGCAUCUCCGCAAGAAACUCCACACUUGUGAAAAAUUAUUAAAAUCCCCAACUUCGCACUUGCGCUCCAUAUCCGCAUCUGUGACCACGCAGGUGCGGAAAAGACCUCGCACCUGCGGCCACUGCCUGUCCUCCUCACUUCCGCUUCUGCAUGUACCAAUCCGCAUUUGCGACCUCUCUUAUGCACCUACGGACCCAGCCUACCUCAACACUAUUCGCUGAAAACUCCCACGCACGCCUGCGACCUCGCAGGUGCGGGAACUUCAUCGCACCUGCGCCUUCUUCCCAGCUCCUCUAAUCUCGCAUCUGCGAUCUCCCGCUCUCUUCUGCGGGCUCGCACCUGCGAUGAGACAUCCGCAAGUGCAAUUAUGACAUUUGAGCUCAACUUCAGCAAUUCCUCCAAUUUCCAAACUUGUUCCGUUAAUCACCCAUAAUCACCCCGAGGACCUCGAGACCUCAACCAAACAUACCAACAUAACCCACAAUAUCAUACGAACUUAGAAAAAUUAUUAAAUCACUCAAAACAAUAUCAAAAUACCAAAUUACACUUGGAUUCAAGCCUAAGGACUUCUAAACUUUCGAAUUCCACCAACGAUGCCGAAACCCGCUAAACCACAUACGAAUGAUCUCAAAUUAUACACACAAGUCAAAAAUAACACCACGAACCUAUUCCAACUUUUGAAAUUCCAUUCCGACCCCGAUAUCAAAAAUUUCACUACCGACCAAAAUUGCCAAAAUUUUAACUUUCGUUAAUUCAAGCCUAAUUAUACCACGGGCCUCCAAAUCUCAUUUCGAACGCGCUCCCAAGUCCAAAAUAACCUAACGGAGCUAACGGAACCAUCAAAAUUCAAAUCCAAGCUCAUUUACAUAUAAGUUAAUGUCUAGUUGACUUUUCAAAUUUAAGAUUCUACUUUAGAGACUAAGUGUCUCAAUUCACUCUGAAACCACUCUGGACCCGAACCAACUAACCCGAUAUAUCAUAAUAUAGCUGAAAAGCACAAAAGGAAGCAGAAAUGGAGAAAACGAGGCUAUAACUCUCGAAACGACUGGCCGGAUCGUUACUCGAUAUGUCCGCUUCUGCGGUGUUCAUCAGGGGUUUCAAAUAACCCCAGAAACUACUUAAAAGUUGUUGUUCCAAACAUGAUUUUGGCACAAAAUUUAUACUCAAGACUUCUAAAUUUUUGCACUGUAUGAUUACAUAACUUGAUUAAACCUUAUUUUAAGGUACUUCGCAACCAAAAUUCUCUUAGACAAUUUAUCGAACACAUAAUGUUCACUGAGUGGUUUUUGAUUCUUUUAAACAAUUUGGUACUUAGACUUCCCAAAUUCUUUUCAACAAUAACAGCACACACAACUACACUCAACCAAUUUCCUCAACCCUAAUAUUAACAUUAAUCAAACAAAAAUGGGGAACUUAUGGUCUAUGGCCAUGGAAAAUCAGAGAUGAAGAAGAAAGAGAAAAUAAGAGUAGAAGAGAAAUGUAGAAUAGAGGGCUGAAGAUGAUACAUGUAACGCCUGUGUAUGAUAGCAGGGGAUUGCACGAGCAGAAUUUGAGUGAGAGAUGAGAGGUUUGAGUUUGGGGAAACGUUUUUUGUGUUACCUAUAGGAGAGUCACUGUCAUGCCCCAAACCUGGGGAGGCGUGGUUGGCACCCGGUGCCGUGCUGGCCCGAGCGAACCACUUUGUAACUCAUGAUCGUUCGACCAAAACUAGAACAUACAUAGGUCAAGUUAACUGAACUCAUUCCUUUUGUAACUAUCAUUAGGCAUGUAAGAGAAUUAUCACUUAUUAUGCUAAGCCAGACACAUAGGAAUGUUUUGAAAAAAUAUUUAUAACUAAUUGCAAAAAUGUAAACUAAUCUAGAAAUCAAGUAAAAUGAUCAAUGGCUUCAGGCAUGGAUGCAUUAGGAAUUUACACUCAAGUAACGAUCCAAUAUAUUUCACGAUUUUACAAAUAUGAGCGAGUUUAUUAUUAAUUAGCCUCUGGUAAUAAUUCUAUAUUAGCUUCUUCCGAUGACUAAUAAGACUUUCUAAUUUAAUUAUCCCUAAAACUAUUAAGAGAUUAAGCACACCCAAAUAUAGCUCCAAGUAGUUCAAUCCUAUCCCUAAGUAGAAUCUAUAAAGUGAGGGUUAAGGCCUCAAGUUCUUGUUAACUAUUCUUUCCCAACCCCGAAUUAUUUUUCCCAAAAUUAAUUCAAAGUGAAUGGGCGAGUCCUAGGGUUAGCUAAUCCCGUUAGAAACAUUUAAUAACAUGAAUAAUUAAAGAAACAAUAACUCACUUCACAAUAAAUAAAAAUCAUUCAAUACAUAAGCAUAACAUGGUAUUUAAUCCACACUUUAAAUAUGAAUAUUCCCAUAAACAGGAUUUAAGUGCUGGAAAAAAUACUAUACACUUAGAUAUUCAAUAGAAAGCAAGGAAAUGAAGAAUUGAAUAUAAAUGGGUAAGAAAUUCUCAACCAAAAGCUCCAAAUCUUCAAGACCCAAGUAUGUGUGCAACAAUCCUAACUCCAAAAAUUGAUAAAAGCUGCCCAAGAUGUGCAGAGACUGUCAAAGGUUGCCAAAGAUGCCAAAGAUCUGUUUUCAAUUAGCUAGGUUGUGUAUUUGUGGGUUUGGAAUGAAAAAAAUAUAAAAUGACAUAAGUGUCCAGGUCUGAAGCCCGUUGACCGCACUUGCGAAAGAAUCCUCGCAGGUGCGGUUCCGCAGAUGCGGAUGCCUGCUCGCAGAAGCGAUGAUGGUAGAAAAUUGAUGUUCCAUAGAAGCGGUCCAAAGCACGCAAUAGCAUGUCCGCAUAAAUGGCCUUUAAGCGCAUAUGCGAGCAUUUACACGUAAAAGCGGUUCUCUACUCGUAGGUGCAAGUUCUAUCUUGCAUGCAUUAUUCCGCAUCUGCGGACCAGUUCUCGUAGAUGUGAGAUCGCAGAUGUGGACUGGUCUUCACUGAAGUGAUUUCAUUGGAAUGUUUUGCACUUCUUUCAUUCUUUUUGCACGAUUCCACUUCAUUUAAUUUCAGUUCUCUUCGAGACUUCAACUAUCUGAAAAUCUAGCAAUGCACACCAUAAAUCACCUCAUUUUAUAAUUAAAGGACGCAAAAACUAAAGAAAGUUGACUAGAAUAAGUGGUAAAAUCACCACUUAUCAUAGAAUAAUUACAAUAAAAAGAGAUGUGUAAUGGUCUCAUUCUGCUCUUUACACAAGCUACAUUCCUACUUAGUUUUAAUACCCUAUUUUGUCAGCCAAUCUUUGGUAUUCAACUUACCAUUUGCAGUCAUGUUUAGAAUGAACAACCACUUUGGAGAAGUAUAGUUGUUACAAGUCAAUUUCUUUCAUGGAACCUUUGCAACAAUAACACAUAAUAGCUGGUACAUUGUCUUUAUAGAGAAAUUCUAGAUAUGCCUCAAUUCUUCUACAUCAAUACCAGUAUCUUUGAUGUAUUGCUUUGAUUUCAAGAUUUUCAAUAAAACCUAGGAGUCAUGUUUAAGUUCAAUAUCUCAAAUCUCUCUCUUAUUACCAUGGUAUAUAUAGACCCAUUAAGCCCAAAACUUGUCUUUCUUCCUCUAUAAGGUCCGCAAUAACUUGCAUAUAACUGAUCUAUUCCAUAAUCCCAUAUUCAUAAUAUUGUAACCCCCUGCUGAUUUUGGCCAACAUACUUUAUGCCAAAGCUGUCAAGGCUUUUUUUGACAAUUCAGCACCUCUAGUCCAUAAUAAGGUCCUACUGGUUGCUUCAAUCAAGUGAAUGACCUUUUUGGUAGAAUAAAAUUUUGGUACCAAAAGGUUUGUAUGGAGAAUAUGACAUUCUUUAUUAAUUAAACUCUCCCCGCAUAGGACAAGUGUCUAGCAACCCAGAAUCACUCUACCCAGCAUCUUGUCUACCAAAGAUUAACAUUGCAUCAUGGAUAAUGGUUUAGUGCUCAAAGGACACUAAGGUAUCUAAUAGGUAGCUCCUCAUUUAUAAAUCCAAGAAAAUUUAGUAUCUCUAUCAACACCUCCAAAAUACACUAAGCUCUUAUAAAGAUUUUCUCAUAGUCUUGAAGCCUCAUAGAAACAAUUAAAGAAAUAAAAAGAAGUUGAGCUGAAAUAACAUCCCCUAUACUGAACAUGAGGAGAUAAUCAUCAAACCCAAGCUGUAUAAUCUACAAUUGUAAUAACACCGGCCGGUCGUUUCGAGCUUUUAUGAUUCGUUCGGUAGUUUGAGACUUUAAGUAGCUUCAUAUAAUGUACUAUGACUUGCGUGUAUAGUCGGUUAUUGUUUUCGAGUGGUUCGAGGUUGAUUUGGAAGAAUGAAUCUCAAUUUGAAAGCUUUAAGUUAGAAGAUGUGACCAAGGUUUUACAUUUUGCUAAACAUGCUCAGAAUCGAGUUUGUAUGAUUCCGAUAGGUUUGUAUGAUGAUUUUGGACUUGUACUUAUGUUCGGAUCCAAUAUUGGAGGUUCCUAGAAGAAUUGGGAACUAUUUGUUGAAAGUUAAUAAUUUGAAGAACUUAAGAGUUCAUAAGUUUGACCAAGAGUUGACUUUGAUGUUAUUGAACUCCAAUUGGUGUUCCGAGACUUUGGAUAGGUCCAUAUAAUUUAAUUGAACUUGUGCAUUAAGUUUGGAUGUAAUCUGAAGUGUGUAUGCAUAAUUCGAACACUCUUUUGAUGGAAUGAAGAUUUAACAACUUAAGAGAAAUUAUAUUCGGUUUGAGCCUCGAUUCUUUGUUGUGAUGUUCCCAUGGGUUUUAUAGCCUACAGAUGAGUUUUGAUAAUGUAUUUGUACUUGUUGGUAUUAUUUGAUGGGAUCCCGAGGGGCCUGGGUCUGUUUUAGAUCAUUGGUUGAGAGACUAGUUAAGUUAAGGAUUUGAAGUUUGAGCACGGCCAAUAUCGGGUUAAGACGACCUCUUUUCAGUGUUUUGAGUGCGCGAGCAGAUUUGUAGCGUAUUUUAUGAUUGAAAUGCAUAUAUGGUUUGUGUCAGGGAGGUUCUGAAUGAGUUUUGGAUGAUAAAAUAAAGUGUUUGCCGUUGCUAAGUUUUCUAGUGUAAACAAUUCCGAAAUAUUAGAUUAUGUCACUAAAAAUUUUAGACUUCCUUUGAAACUUCAAAACAUUAUAUCUCCCUCAUUUUUAGCCAAAUUAGGUAAUUCAAAAGGCUAUUUUGGGUGUAAUCUUGUAAGGAUUAUGUUGUGAUUAUCAAAUGUGAGUUUCCGGAUCAUCUAAGAUCUGAUUCGGGAUGGGACACCUGCUACAUUUUUACUUGUUUCAGAAUUUAGUUACUUUUCUCGCAAGGUUUUGGAGCUCGGGAAGAGGCAAUAUUUGACGGAGCUUUUCAUCUACAUCAUUUGGUUAAGUAAUCCUAACUCGAAUUCAUGAUUAUAAAAUGAAUAUAUCAUUAAUAUUUUCUCUAAAUCAAGGAAUCUUAAGGAAGAAAAGAGGGUUUUGGCUUGAAGGAUAAGAAAGCGCAAUUUGGGAGUUUUAACAAAACUUUUCUAAAGUGAAUAAUUGAGUUUUAAAUGUCGUUUUGGAGUCGGAAUUGAGUGAAACUAAUAUGGUUGGAUCAUAUUCGAGCAGUUUAUCGUAAUUUGUGGUUUUUGUCGGAUUCCGAGACGCGGGCCUGGGUUGACUUUCUAGUUGUCUUUGAGUAUUUGAUUAAAGAUUCGAUAUUUAUCGUUUAGGUUUGUUUCCUAUGGUGUUAUUUGAUAUUUUUGAGUUGAUUUUGGCUAAAUUCGAGCCGCUCGGAUAUCGAUUCACGUGGGAUGGCAUUUUAGACUAUUGUUUUGGCUUGUGUGAGGUAAGUGUCUUGCCUAGCUUUGUUGAAGAAAUAUUUUUCUAAUAAAAUGAUAUUGUUUGCGAUAUACGAGUGUGAUGUAUAUGCAAGGUAAUGAGCAUAUAUGCAAGUACCCGGGUUAUCCAUGCUUGGGGGUAGAUUAUAUGAUGAUUUGUACCUUAUUGGACUUUGUGAAUUUCUUGCCUCAUGUUUCACUUGACUUCUAUAAUAGUAUGAGCAAAAUUUCAAUGCUAUAGACCAUACUUCAGCCUACUACAACUUGAUUAAAUGUAAUGGACCCUUUGUGAAACUGUUGAUGUACUAAAUUCGGUCAUAACUAUACCUAAAACACGAAUACAUUGUUAUGUCUGUUAUGCUUAGGAUACUUGGGUUCCCUACCUAUGUUGAAGAUCAUGUUUGAUCUUUGAUUGUCGUUCAUGUGGUGUAUUUUGCUUAAGCACUCUUAUUGAUGUUAUCCAUGCUUCCCACCUUGCUUGUUGUUGAUGUAUAUAUGCUUGGUGAGGAAGAGUGUAAAGCACGAAGGGUGGUGCCGUAUAUUUUGUUUACAUUAUCAUGUGAGGAUGAGAGUAAAGGAAUGAAGGGUGAUGAUGUGACAUUGGUUAAAAGCAUGAAGGGUGAUGUCGUGCCAUUAUUUCACAUUAUCAAGUGAGAAAGAGAGUAAAAUCACGAAGGGUGAUGCAGUGUAAUUAUUUUAUAUUAUAAUAUGUGGAUGAGAGUUCAUGGCACGAAGGGUAUUUCCGUGCAGGUGAGGAUUAGAGUCAUGCAUUAUAUGUGUUAUCUUUUCCAUGCGUAUAAAUUUAUGUCUUUAUCUUAAGUUGUUAUUGCCGCACCUAUGCUUUUUACUUUGCUUGAUUGUAGUCACGACUUUACCUUUUACCUUAUUUGUUUUUGUUCUAUCCAUGUCGUCUAUUUAUAUUUCACUGUUAUAUUCAUUAUGUCCUUCUUGUUUGUUAUACCUACAUCUAUGCUUCAUCUCUCAUUUGUUGUGGUUUCAUCUAAACCUCCUACCUUGCUAACUAUUGAAAUCUAUAUUCUUCUACCUUAUUUUCUAUCAUUACUGUGGUGCCUCCUACCUUGUCUGUUACUUUUAUCCUCCUGCUUCUACCUUGUUUGUUACUACUGUGUGUGUGUUUCCUACUACGCCAAGGCCAGUUUCCACACAUAAGUCCGAGUACGUACUCGUCACCUCGCGUACACGGACUACAAUCAGCAUAGAAGACUCAAAUCCUAAGGGAUAGUUCCCCCACAUAAGAUUAGGCAAGAUAUUUAUCUCAAAGCAGACACACCGAUACUCAAAAAGGAACUUCUCAGGUGAAAUGGCCUCCGGAGGGCUCAAAUCUAACCAAAAUAACUUCAAAGUACAAAUUAAACUCAUACAAAACUAUUCUGGAUCAUAAAGCCUAAAUCUUUAUCAAAAUCUAAAAAUCGACCCAAAAGUUGACCCCCGGGCCCGCACCUCGGAACCCGACAAUUUUUACAAAUCCGAACACCCAUUCUGAUACGAGUUCAACCACACUAAAAUUAUCAAAUUUUGAUACCAAUUCGCCCCUCAAAUCAUGAUUUUUCAUUUGAAAGUUUUCUUCCAAAAUUCCCAUUUUCCUCAACUCAAAAUACAAAUUAAAUGAUAAAAAUAAAGAUAAAAUUAUGGAAUAUAAUAAAUUCUAGGUGAAGAACACUUACCCAAUCGAUUUUUUUGAAAAACCCACAAAGACUCGCUCAAAACCGAGCUCUACAAGUCAAGAUAUGAUAAAUAUGGUCUAACCCUUGAUUUGGAAGAUAUAUUCUGCUGCCCAGGCAUUAAGGCAUCGCGAACGCGGAAGAAGGAUCGUGUUCACGAAGAAGAAAAGGAUGCUACCCAGUUUAUGCUUCGCGACCGCGACAACCUGCCCGCGAAAGCGGAGAAGAAAAGUAUGAUGGCCCAACGACUGCUAUUCGCGAACGCGUGAAGUAGUACGCGAACGCGAAGGGUGGAAUGGCAUAACUACGCGAAUGCAAACGCGAAGAAGGGAAGGGCUGGUUUCCGCGUUCGUCAGAGGAGGCAUGCGAACGCGAAGAAAAAAUAUUCCUUCCUCCAAAAUUACUCUUCACGAACGUGGAGGAACAGAUGCGAACCCAAAGGAGUAAAUCAGAUGACAGAUUCAGCAGUUCAAAAUAGAAGAAAAUAGCAUGUAAACCAUCAGAAACACACCCGAGGCCCCGAGANNNNNNNNNNNNNNNNNNNNNNNNACUUAUGAACUUCAAUUCUUCCAACUUCUAAAACUCGCGCAGAAACCUAUCAAAUCAACAAGGAAUGACGUCAAAUUUUGCAAGCAAGUCCCAAAUAACAUAACGGAGUUGUUCCAACUCUCGGAAUCGAAUUUUGACCCCGAUAUCGCCAAAGUCAACUCUUUGUCAAACCUCUCAACCUUCAAAACUUUAACUUUUCCAAUUUUCGCCGAAAUGCUCCAAAUUACCCUACGGACCUCCAAAUCCAAAUUCAGACGCAUGCCUAAAUCCAAAAUCACCAUACCAAGUUAUUGGAAUCAUCCAAAAACCAUUCCGGAGCUGUUUACACAAAAGUCAUAUUCCAGCCAACUCUCACCGCUUAAGCUUUCAAAAGUUGAAUCCGUCUUCCGAUUUGACUCAGAAUCAUCCGGUAACUGAAUCCAACCAUGCAUGCAAGUCGAUACAUAUAAUACGAAGCUGCCCAGGACAUUAUACCGCCGAACGGGACUUAAAUUGUCAAAACGAUCGCGGCCGGGUCGUUACAUUCUCUUCCUCUUAAACAAACAUUCGUCCUCGAACGUGCUAAGAAUCGCCUCGAAGUCAUCAAUUUACUGAAUGCAUAUAUCCAACAUACACCUACGGGUGACUCCACGUCACCCCAAUCCACAUAAGCCUGACGACACCAUCUCAACUAUAAUUUAUCCUUUCUACCAACACCGAUAAGCCUUAGAGUCAAAAUUCUCACCUUUCGUUCAUCUCCAAAAGACCCGAUUCUAAAUUCAUACCUGGUAUCAAUCUCAACCAGCUACAACAACUCAUGUCUACACCCACAAGGUACGACCACCCAACAUGAUACACCACACAUAGGCCCAUAAUAACAUUUCUGAUCACAAUAGUUGCCCGUAAUAAAAACCAACACCGGCAAUUAGCCUCAUAUCCGUUAGAAACCCGUUUCAAACCUCCACAAUGCUGAAAAUUGUUGAUACUCAAUUUUAUCCUCCCUUUACUCCAAUUUAUUUUCGUGGGCAGUCAUGGCCGCAAAAAUAUAUAUAUAUAUAUAACAUAUUUUAAAUUAUUAUUAAAGCAUUACCAUAUUUUUUCACGGCCUGCGCCAUAUUUUAUUAGUGUAUUACAAAUUACUUUUCAUGUUUUAUUAGUUAAUCUUACUAUUAUGGUUUUUAUUAUUUUGACUAUUAUUGUUAUUAUUAUUUCCAUCACCAUUUACUAAAAGAAUUUUUAUUCUUAAUAUUAGUUGUUGAGUCACUAUUUAAAAUAUGUUUUUUUAUGACAAAUAGAUAUGCUUUAUUUUCUUAUAAUCAUAGAAUAUUUACUAUAUUAAAUUAUUUAUUUAUUUUAAAUAUUUUACUAAUAUCUUACGUUAUUAUUUUUUAUACUUCUAGUUAAUCAUUUAUUUUAAUUAUUAAUAUAUUAAUUAGAAGCCCAAUUUUUAAAGACCCUUUUUAUCCAUUUCGUAGCCCAACCUGCUAGCCCAAAUCCUAGUCCAAUUAACCCCAAAAUCAAUCCCCAUACCAUAGUAAACAUUUCCCUAAUCCCUUUCCAUGAGCCCCUUCAUCCUAAACCAUCAGAACCGAUGUCAAAGUUUUAACUUUCCUUCUUUUUGUUACUUUGUUUCCACACAUUCUUGUACCCAUUUAGCCCCUAAUUUUACGCCCCACUCCCUCCCCAAAUUGCAAAAUCAAGAUCUCUUUCUCCUCCUCUUUGUGUUUCCAGAACAUAUGGAGAAGAUAUUGUGGAAAUCAAGGGAGGAAUUAGUCCAAGUUCAAUGUAUCACAAGAUAAGUAGAAUAUAUUUUUCCGGAUUUAUUGUUUAACGGAUUUGGUUCUCUUUCUUAUCAAUUUGAUUUUAAAAAUCUCAAUCUUGUAUGUUUUCUUCUUUUUAAAAGCUUUCCUUUCCUAACCUGAAUUUUUGGCUCUAUUCAUAUAUGGCCGAAUUUGAGUAAAUUUCUGACGCUUUUCUAUAUAGACUAAAUCACUUUCUUUCCAAAGUUGAACCUCCAACUUUUGGUAAUUGAUUCUGUCAAAAUUUUAUUCUUUACUAAUUAGCAACCUUAAAUUUCGUCUGUUUUACCUUUUAUAAUUUAGAGGCUUGGUAAUGCCUUAGCUAUAAAUAUCCUAUUGUUAAGACCAUAGAGGGGGGGACUUCGGACAAUGACUUAUUCACAAACAUUAUAACUUUCUUAUUAAGAUUUGUUACACGAAUUGCUUCUACUAUUCGUGUAACAAAGUCGACGGGAAGUUGCGGCAAAGCUUGUUGCUUUUCAUUCCUCUCGAUUUGGAUUCUUUCUUGUUGCUGCUGUUCGAAGUUUAUCGUUGCGAUAUUUGGUCUAUUUUACUGUUGAAACUUUGUUCGUGGACUAUUCAUUUGGAUUUCUGGUUUUCUUAUUAAUUCGGCACGUCGCGAACUGGUUAGUCUCCUCAACAAUGCAUUCAAUUCCUAUGUGUUAGUUGGUUGUAGAGUAAUUUAGUUUCUUCCAAAUUUUUGUAUCGCGUAAAUUUCUAUGUAUGUUUAUACCCCUGACUAUGUUGAGUGUCGGGCGACACUCUAUUUUAAAGCAGGCCAAAUUAAAGACCAGGUAUGUAUUCUGAUCUUAGUGUGCUUUUAUUCUCUUUGUUGGUUUAUGGCUCUUUUGGACGUAAAAAGCAUGUUUUAGAGAUAAGUUUAUAGACACCAAUCGGAGAUUAUGUUUUUAGGAGAUCACUGAUAAUUGAUUAUUAAGUGGAUUGAUCAUGUUAAAAUUCUUUUGUCAGAGAAUAUUAGAUCAGCAGUAUGUUUGGUGUGUGUUUUUGUAUACCUGACACUAAUGCUAUUGGGUUUUGAGACAACUUGAGAAGUCAGCGGGGAAUCUGGAAAGUAAUUUUAUCCAUGUUAUAAUUUUCAUUCAACUUGGAUUUUGUUUUUUUUUUCCUUUUAAUGAAAAACUUCUAAUUUCCUUUUAAAAAAAUGCAUAUCUAGUCAUAUACUUGCUUGAAAUUGGCCCAACAGUGUUGUAUGAAAUUUUUAUAGCCUAUCUCAAAUAUUACUUUAAGCUUUAGCUCUUGUAUCAAUUAUCCUAUUUUGCAGUGCACUUUCUUCUACCAUUGUUUUAUACUUGGUUAUCAAAUUAACGACAUUAUUACCCAUUUUAGUGAGCCACUUAAUACUUUUAAUCACCUUAACUAGUUCGGAGGCCAACAUGAGCCCUUACUUGUCUUAUGUGUAACUUGUCCAAUGUGCUCGUUUUAUGUGACGCUAAUAAGGAUAGAAAUUGAAACUUGAGAUUUUCUUUUAAGUCUAGAACCAUCCCUUUAGAAUAGUGUCCAAAGCCUCCUGGACUAUAAGAAUGGGGCGGGUAGGCUUACUAAUGCACGAUUUAGAAUUAAUUAGUGCGCUUUAAGUAACGACUUAAAGAUAGUAACGAGGGUAGCGGACAUGAUGCACAAAUUGCCCGAAUAGCCAUUACACUUUUGGCUAUAGAAGUCUUAGUAGGCUUUGCACGAGAGUUGAUCCAUUGUAUUCCUAUCGUGAUUUCUUCCUUUUGCAUAUUACUACGUGCGGAGAAGCGAGGUCCUAUCCUCCUAGUUUAUAUUUAACUUAUACAUAUGUCCCUAUAGAGAGAUUUUGUAUUUUCUUUAUUAAUUAUUAAUUAAAAAUCUGUCCAUGUCAUCCUGUCGUCUUUUCGUAUAAUAUAUAUUUUUCUUAUAAAAAGAUUUGCUUUUUUCCUAAUGAAUGUUUUUGGUCGUCCAAAUUACUAUCUUUUCUUUGAUCUUUUUUCUAUAGUUUUGCUCAUGUAGAAUAAUUGAUACAUAACUUGUUUAUUCGACCACUUAGACCAUUUAGAGUAAAUCUGAAUCACAUAGAUCCCACAUAGUUUAAAAUUCGGCUGGGAACCACAUUUGUAGACCUUGAAGAGUGCCUAACACCUUCUCUUCGAGGUAACUUGAACCUUUAUCCGAUCUUUAGUGAUGAAGACUAGUUAACUCAGAGUUACUUGUAAAUAGGCGCUCUAACGCACCUUAAACCCUUAGGUGGCGACUCUUCUCUUUUAAUACCUCUUCAUUUAAAAGAGUUGUCACAUGUCGAAAUUUACUUUCGCGAGAAAAUGGGGCGCGACAACAAUGAUGCAAGAAACAUGAAGACCUCAUAGUUAUACGCCCGAAUCAACAAGUCACAUCUAACGCCACCGGGCACACACACCGUAAGCUAAAACUCAAAUAAGCACAAGACGAAAACGACUGAAUAUGUAAGGAGAAGCACAUAAGAGAAAUAUCAAACAAGCCAGAGAUACACAACUCUCUAUCAGUAUCAUACUCCGAAUCAAUUUACAAGGAAAAAUCAAAGUGUGUGAACAAAUCACAAGGAUCUCAUCCUGAUAUAACUUUCACUGCGGCACACGACCCUGUUCAAACAUAUCAAAUCACAUAAAAUCGCGAGGGUCUCACCCUAGACUCUGAAUCACAAGUCGAAUACACAUCUUACCAAUUGAAACCUUCCACUAAUUCAACUCUGCCAAUAAAAUCACAACACUUUACUGAACUCUCACCCCGACAGAGCAUCUAAAUCACAACUCGUAACCAAAAUUAAUCAGGAAUCACAUAAAAACCUAUCGUAAUGGACAACAUGAAUUCACUUCGAGUCUCGUAACUCUCAAUAAUGAAUAAAAACAAUGGUAGACACGGGCUACCACUCAUAGAAUCUCCCGACAGGGUAAACACAUAAGCAGAAUACUAAAUCAUGAACUCUCCCAUAGGUGAGGCAACAAAUAGGAGGACUCAUCCCGAUAAGCAGAACUGAAACAAAAUAUGGGUGGUGCUCCUCCAUAACAAAUCAAAAACAUACCUGUGUGACAUCAUCUGACGCAGCGACCUCAAGCCUACUAUAUGAAACACAUUAACAGGUCAGGCCUCCCCCUCUUAGGUGCCCUCUACUUGCCUGAAUACCCCACUGUGACACACUUGUCCGGAGGCUAAGACAAUCUAACCAUAUGGCUGGUAUCUCCACACUCGAAGCAACCUCUCUGCUGACGUGGCUGUGGGAACUGUGUGGCACGGGUACUUUGAGACCCAUGAGCACCUGAAACAUUAUGCGAAGCCUGAAGUGCAAACUGAAUUGGCUGACCCACAAAACCUCUACCAUGUCGUACCUUGCCUUCAAAAUAAGGACCAGUAGAUCUCUCUAGUCUACGAGGCCUCCUCGUCUCCCUGUCCUCUCUCUCCUGACCUCGCCUGUCCUUUCUCUCUUGGUCCUACCUAUCCUCUCUCUCCUAGUCCCACAUGCCCUUUACUCGGCGGGCUAUCCCUACCACCUACUGAAACGAAACAUUUGACUCUAACUCCCGAGCCAUGUUGAACCGAAUAUCAUGCCUGAGCCUCUCAAUGAAUCUACGGACACGCUCUCUAACUGUAGCGACCAAAGUAGGUGCAUAUCUGGCUAAAUCACUGAAUCUAACGGCAUACUCUGAUACUGACAUAGUGCCCUAGCGCAACUGCUCAAACUCCGCGCGCCAUGCAUCGCGAAGGGAUUGGGGUACAAACUCUCUCAGGAACAUCUCUGAAAACUGAACCCAUGUGAGUGAAGCUGACUCGGCCAGGCUACCCAACUCAUACGCCCUCCACCACUGAUAAGCCGCUCCCCUGAGCUGGAACAUAGUAAAAGCAACCUGGCUCACCUCCACAAUAUCCAUAGUACGGAGAAUGCGGUGACACUCCUUCAGAAAACUCUGGCAUCAUCUAUCGCCAAUCCAGUGAAGGUAGGAGGGUGGUACUUCUUGUACCUCUCAAGUCUAAGUUGUUCUUCCUCAGAUGCUGCUGCCCUAACCACGGGCUGAACUAGAACCACAGGCUAUGUCGCCAUGACACCUGGAACCUGAACAACAUAAACUCGUUGCUCUGUAGUGUAGGCGACGGGAGUUUGAGCUCCUCCCCCGGUCUGUGAAGUAGCUGGUGCAACCGGAAACAACCCCGCCUGAACCAAUAUACCAAACAUGCUUAGGAGUUGUGCUAAGGUCUCCUGAAGUCCGGGGGUAACAGUAGGUGCCUCCGGUACCUGUCCCCCAACCGGAGCUACUGGCGGCUCCUCAACUGCUGUUCUGGUCGAUGCUCUAGCUGCGACACGUGCUCCUCUUCAGCCUCUACCUCUUCCCCUAGCGACACUUGCUCUGAGGGCAGCGUCAUCAGUAACUGCAGCUCGUAUCCUCACCAUCUGUGAGAGAAUGGAAUGAUAAAAGCUUCAAACUUUGAGAUAAAUAAACUCGCACUAUAAGAAUGAAGGAAGUGAAACUGUCCUAAUAGUUCCGUAGCCUCUCAAAGAUAAGUACAGACGUCUCCGUACCGAUCCGCAAGACACUACUAAACUCGUUUAUGACUUGUAGCACCUAUGAACCUAGAGCUCUUAUACCAACUUGUCACGACCCAAUUUCCCCUCCGUUGGGUAUCGUGAUGGAAACUAGUCUUAGGGACUAGGUAAGCCUAUUAUCAUCUGAAUAACAACGAUAAUAAAGUAACAUCUAAUAAUUUCUUUAAUGGAAUUCUCUAUACAAAUUUACAAUUCCCAAAACCGGUAGUACAAGUCAUAAGCUCUACAGAAUUUUGCUAUAAUUUUCUAAAUACAACUGUUUGAAGUAAAGUAAACAGUAUGAAUACAAAUCAGAAGGUGACUCUGAAGCCUGCAAACUCAGCAACAGGUUUACCUUGAGUCUCCGCAGCAACAAUCCGCACAGUUAGCUAAUGAUCAACUGACUUCGAAAUAUCUGGAUCUGCACAACACUAUGCAAAAGUGUAGUAUGAGUACACCACAGUGGUACCCAGCAAGUAUCAAGACUAACCUCAGUUGAGUAGUGACGAGGAACAGUCAAGACACCUACUGGACUAAAUAACCUGAACAAGUGUAAGUAUAGGAACAACAAAGUAUGGUAUAUAUAUAAAGACUAUGCGAAAUGGAAAAUAAUACAGUAAUCGCAGUAAGAAAAGAAAACAACAACUAUCAGCGGAAAUAAAAUAAUAAUGACAUAGAAGAAUGAACGGCAACACAACCUAAAUUCGGUAAACACAGAUAAGGAAAGGACAAGUAAUAACUCAACAAAAACGACCGCUUUCACAUCAGAUUUUAGUCAAUAAACUCCACGAGGUACCAAACCUCAGACUAUUCACACUCAUGGGUCCCAAUAUCUGAACCCUAACAUUUGGCAUCAUGUGCCCUCAUUACACUUCAUAACCGCAUUGACGACUCACGUGCUAAAUAGAGUCAUUCUCACAUAAAAGGCAAGUAAACAAGGGUGUACAUCUAUACUCAGAAAUAUCAAGAAUCCUCUUAACCGAUAAGAGUGCUUAACUACGUGUAUGCUUGUGCAAGUGUUCUAAUAUAGUUCAUACCAGCUAGUAAGCACAAGAAAAGAAACAGACAACAUACAGAAUAUUUUCUCACAACUUUCACAAGAUAAAGCUCACACAGGUAAGUGUACCACUACACAAAUAUCAGCAACAAUAAUGCCCCCAGGCCAUCACAAAUCAAUCCCUGACAUAGCCCACCUUGCCUCACCACGUGUGCAAUAAUAAAGUAUAUGCCCGCCUUGUCUCACCACAUGCGCAACCCACAUAUAUAUAGCCCGCCUUGUCACGCCGCAUGUGCAAAUAUCAAUAGUAACAAUAGCACGACAGAAAUCUCGUGCAACCCCAUAACAACAACCGCAAGGAAGAAAGCCUGUGCAUCACAAUAACAACAACCGCACGGCAGAAACCUCGUGCAUCACCACAACAAGUACAAUAACAACAAUGACAAUAAUAUAAAGUACGAGUCAAAUAAUUCCAAAUAAGGGUAGGUCAACUAAGGCAUAGGAUAUCUAAGCUUCUUUUAAGGUUGGGCAAUUACGAAAGAGAUAUGAAAAAUUCCAUUAAAGGUACACAACGGGAAGAUAACCAUAACCUCAAUUAAGGAUGAACAAUUACAAAAGAGAUAACUAUAACUUCAAAUAAAGAUAAGCAGUUAAGGGGAAUGAUAAUAUGGCAAUANAUGGCAAUAGAAGAGUUAACAGUUUCAAUUAAGGCACAUAUGAAUCAAAUAAAUAAUAAGAGUGGAUCAUGAAGCAAUUAGUUCUAAUUAAAGUAUGUAGAGGUGAAGCCAGUCAUUAAGGAACGUAUUCGUAACAAAACAAUUGCAUGCUCAAUGAACACAAGGACCUAAGAACCCUAAAAGGCCAAUUUUCAUACAUAAGUCCGAGUACGUACUCGUCACUUCGCGUACACGGACUACAAUAAGCAUGAAAUACUCAAAUCCUAAGGGGUAAUUCCCCCACACAAGGUUAGGCAAGAUACGUACCUCAAAGCAGACAGACCGAUACUCAAAAAUGAACUUCUCGGGUGAAAUGGCAUCCGGACGGCUCAAAUCUAACCAAAAUAACUUCAAAGCACAAAUAAAACUCAUAAGAAACUAUUCAGGAUCAUAAAGUCUUAAUCUUUAUCAAAAUCUAAAAAUCGACCCUAAAGUCGACCCCCGGGCCCGCAUCUCGGAACCCGACAAUUGUCACAAAUCCGAAUAAUAUUGUGUGGAGAUAGAAGAAGAAUAUAUUGAAGAAGAGUCGCUUGAUUUGAUGAUAUAUAUAGGAAAAGAAGCGCGUUACAGGACGCGCGACCAUAUGCAGUGCCCCCCCCCCCGGGACAAUAAUCAUUGCAGAAACAAGGAACGUUUUUCCUUGUUCUUUUUUUUUUGAAAUUAAGGAAUCUAUUCAUAAUCUUUUUUUGUUUUUUCCAUUACGUGUUGAAUCUAAGAGUUUACGAUUAAAGAAUAUGAUCAAUGCAGCUGCUUUAACCUUUGUUACUUUGUGAAGAUUAGCCGUCAAUAUAUUUUCAAAAAUAGUACAUAUAUGUAUUUGAAUUUUUCCUUUUUGAAAGGACUAAUUGUAUCUUUGCCCCUAAGAAAACUCUUACCUUAUCCCUCCCCCCACCCACAUAGUGUGAAGUACUCCUCUUCCCCUACACCACGACUAAUGACGUUUUCAUUAGCUAAAGGUAACAUAAUCUUAAUUAAAUGGAAGAUUACGCGCAUAUACUUGAUAUAGUCCACAUCAAAAUGGUGUAAGAAAUGACAUUACUAAUAUAGAAUCAUUCUGAUCAUUAAGAUGUAUCUCCAGAGGAGACUUGAGGUAUAACUGCACAGAGUCCGCAGUUCCGAAGUCCCCGUCUACUUUACUUUAGCUGUGUGUUUCCUUUCAGACAUCUUUAUUUUGUUCAGACCCUUAUUUGUAUUAUUCUAGAAGCUCGUGCACUUAUGACUUCAGUUUUGGGAUGAUAUUUAGAUAUCGCGAUUAUUAUGGAUUAUUCACUUGAUUUCAGACUUUAUUUUCGCAUUUGUUUCUUUGUUAUUAAUUUAUAUAAAAUGGUUUUAAAUGGCAAAUUAUAUUCUAACGUUGGCUUGCCUAGCAAGUGAAAUGUUAAGCGUCAUCACGGUCCCGUAAGUGGAUAUUUCGGGUCAUUGCCCAACCUUAAAAGAAGCUUAGAUUUCCUAUGCCUUAGUUGACAUACCCUUAUUUGGAAUUAUUUGACUCGUGUUAGUUUCCUUGUUGUUGAACCGUACAUUUUGGAACCGUUAUUACAUAUUGUUUCCUUCCCUGUUGAGCUGUUCUUACUAAGCCUAGUAUUCUUUAUUAUGGUUAUUCUUUGUGAACUAGUUCUACCGUUUCUCGUGAUCGAAGGUUAUUGAGUUGAUUUACUUGUCGUACUUUAUAUUAUUGUCAUUGUUGCUAUUGUACUUGUUGUGGUGAUGCACGAGGUUUCUGCCGUGCGGUUGUUGUUAUUGUGAUGCACGAGCUAUCUUCCUUGCGGUUGUUGUUAUGGGGUUGCACGAAAUUUCUGUCGUGCUAUUGUUACGAUUGAUAUUUGCACAUGCAGCAUGACAAGGCGGGCUAUAUAUAUGUGGGUUGCGCAUGUGGUGAGACAAGGCGGGCAUAUACUUUAUUAUUGCACACAUGGAGAGGCAAGGUGGGCUAUGUCAGGGAUUGAUUUGUGAUGGCCAGGGGGAAUUAUUGUUGUUGAUAUUUGUGUAGUGGUACACUUACCUGUACGAGCUUUAUCUUGUGAAAGUUGUGAGAAAACAUAAUCUUCAGGAUAUAAUACUUUCCAAAUCUUCCGAAAAUCAAACUCGACCACACCCGCGGGUCAUAAAACAUAUUACGAAACUGCUCGAGACCUUAAGUCACUGAACGCGGCAUUAAUUCAUAAAACGACAAGUCGAGUCGUUACAGGGCCGCAUUCAUAACAUAAUCUCUUUAAUCAUAUCCUUUC
rnacentral:lncRNA from 1 species